rnacentral:rRNA from 1 species
UACGUAGGGUGCAAGCGUUAAUCGGAAUUACUGGGCGUAAAGCGUGCGCAGGCGGUUAUGUAAGACAGAUGUGAAAUCCCCGAGCUCAACCUGGGAACUGCAUUUGUGACUGCAUCGCUGGAGUGCGGCAGAGGGGGAUGGAAUUCCGCGUGUAGCAGUGAAAUGCGUAGAUAUGCGGAGGAACACCGAUGGCGAAGGCAAGCCCCUGGGCCUGCACUGACGCUCAUGCACGAAAGCGUGGGGAGCAAACAGG